AGGUGAGCAAACCCGGAAGGGGAGGGGACGCUCCCGGGACUGCAGGAAACGGGCCUCGUGCCGGCCCACCCCUCGCUGGCUGUUCUCCAGGUCGUUCUGCUGGCCUGUCUCUCUCUCUCUCUCUCUCUCUCUCUCUCUCUCUCUCUCUCUCUCUCUCUCUCUCUCUCUCUCUCUCUCUCUCUCUCUCUCCCGCUCCCUCCCUCCCUCCCUCCCUCCCUCUCUUUUUCUCCCUCCUUCCCUCUCUCCCUCUCUCUGUCUCUCUGUCUCUGUUUGUCUCUCUGUCUCUGUCUCCUCCAGGGGAAGCCUGGCUGCAGCUCCCAGGGCUGGGCGGGUUGCCUCCUUCCAGCCUGAGACACGGGGGUGGGGGCAGCUGGCGUGGCCAACAGCACCUGGAGUUGGCGGUGGGGUGCUGACCAGGACGGCGUCACCGAGGCCGCGUGCCCGUCAUCCCCGUGCGAUGCAAGCCGUGUUUCUUGGCGGUCUUAAUGGACUUCAAGAGGGACACUCAGCGUCUAUUUACUCCUGCACGCACGCACAGGUCCUGUCUGAGGGGCGAUUAAGAAAGCUUUGCCUUUCUGCCCUGGAAGUGAACCUGCAGCGAAAGGUGAUUCACCGGAAAAGAGUGAGUGUGCAUGUUGUCUGCUCCUGGUAGGAGUCAGCGCUGGGAGGACCGUGCGGGUUCCGGCGUCUGUCCCUCCGGCUCGGAUCGCAGGCUGCAGGCAGCGCGUCCGUUUUCGAAGUAGAUGGACGGGCAGAAAAUCAGUGUUUUGCUCUGCUGACAAAGACACCCCUGAUAGCUCAAAGGCAGGAGACCAUAAAAUACCACAGAAACACGAUUCACGACGGAGGUGAAGCUUCGAGCGACCUCUGGGGGUGCCCCCCGCCCCCCUAUCCCAGGAGUGCGGUGGCUGAGAUGCGGGAGAGCAGAGUUUUUUCUUGGUUUUUUUUUUUUUAACGUUUGAAAACUUUUUAUUAUGAAAAAAUCGUAGACUUAAGAAGCGUCCCGGAGAUGGGGCGCCUGGGUGGCUCAGUCAGUUAAGC